rnacentral:lncRNA from 1 species
AUUUAUUUAUUCCGUGAAACUUUGCAAAAACAUAAAUAACUGAAUUGACAAAACAACAAACCGUGACGCAGAGAGAAACAAAACACUACUCAAAAUAUAAUAACCCACAAAACCCAGGAAGAAAAACCCCCAACUUAAAUAUGAUCUCCAAUUAGAGACAACGAGGACCAGCUGCCUCCAAUUGAAGAUCAACCUAAAAAACAACAACAUAGAAAUAGAAAACUAGAACUAAACAUAGCUAUAGAAAACAUAGAACAAAACACCCCUGUCACGCCCUGACCUACUCCACCAUAGAAAAUAACAUCUUACUAUGGUCAGGACAUGACACUGUCUCUCUCUCUCUCUCUACCUCUGCCUCCCUCUCUCUCCAUCUCUCUCUCUACCUCUGCUUCCCUCUCUCUCUCUCUCUAUACCUCUGCUCCCCCCUCUCUCUCUCUCUGUCUCCCUCUCUUUUGCGAGAGAGAGAGAGAGAGAGAGAGAGAGAGAGAGAGAGAGGUGUAGAGGGAGGGAAGCAAGCAGAGGUGUAGAGAGAGAGAGGGAAGCAGAGGUGUAGAGAGAGAGAGAGAGGGAAGCAGAGGUAGAGAGAGAGAUGGAGAGAGAGGGAAGCAGAGGUAGAGAGAGAGAGAGAGAGAGAGAGAGAGGGACGCAGAGGUAGAGAGAGAGAGAGAGAGAGAGGGAAGCAGAGGUAGAGAGAGAGAUGGAGAGAACAAUAGAGACAGAGAAAAAGACAGAGCAGCCAACCCCUCAGGACUAAAUACACCUCAGAAGAACGACCAAACAACUAAAAGGUACAGAAACAAAUUCACUUGAAUGUGGUCAGAGCGCCCCCAGGUGGCCGAGGAGGGUGUUAACUGUCUCAUUAAGUUUCAUAAGACGAUCAGUAGGCAAUCAUCACUCUGAAGACAAAUAAUACAGACAAUAUGAGAGGCACAGGCUGUAUCCCAAAUAACACAUCACAGGCUGUUUCCCAAAUAACACAUCACAGGCUGUAUCCCAAAUAACACAUCACAGGCUGUUUCCCAAAUAACACAUCACAGGCUGUAUCCCAAAUAACACAUCACAGGCUGUAUCCCAAAUAACACCCUAUCUUAUAUAUAGGACAUGACUACUGACCAUAUACCUAAAGAGAACCACAGUAUGAGGCAUAACACCCAUAAAACCUUGCGGUGAAACAGGAAAUAUAC